GCUUUAUAUUACCUUAUUUAUUAUUUAUUUAGACGAUUUUUUAUAAUAUGUAAUUUAGUAUUUUGUUGGGGUGACAGGAAGAUAAACAAAACUCUUUUUAGUUUAAAACCAUUGAUUUAUGAAUUGUUGAUCCAUUUGUAGUGAUUAUAAGACUAAGU
rnacentral:rRNA from 1 species